GAGUCACUGAUGGAGAAAUUUGACCUUAAAGGUUUGGGAAUGGCUUUUUAACAGUUAAUUUUUAAGAUUUUUUUUAAUCAGGCAUUUCAGCUGGUCCUUCAGCCGUGCUAGCACAUCAAGUAUGACUUUUUUUCCAAUUGGGUUGUUCUGUCAAAGAUAACUUAAGAAAACGUUUUUAAGUGUUAAAAGACCAUAUUAUACCACACAAGGUCUGGAUGGUAGCAGGAGGCUUUGCUGCACUGCAGUGCAAGCGGAAGAAGAAUGAACAAGUGAUGCAAGGAAAAAUUCACCAUUUGAAUAAAUGUAAAAAUACUUGUCAGGCUCAGCUCCUUCUUGGUUCUGGCGUAAACCCUCCAAAUCGUGGCAGUUUAUCAGAAUAUUACAUCUUCUUUGUCAGUGAAGAAAGAACCAAGAAGACCAGUGAGUUCUGCCACUGGUAUGUGUAGGAAUUGAAAAACACAGUCUUCAAGUUGUAUUACCAGGAGUCCACGUGUGAAUCUCAGUCAGGGAGUAAGUAAAUCCCAUGGUACGCUAGCAGUUUAAAGACCAAAGAAGGCUUCUAAAUAAUGAAACUUACUAUAAAUCUACCCUGAAGAACACUGGUUUGGAAGUUUCCUCCUGGAGUUCUGCUUCCCAUUUGCACCAUUGGGGUGUGUGUGUGCUAGAGACUAUUGUUAAUACGUCUGCAUUGUGGAUUUCUAAAAAAGCCAGUAAGAACAGGAAAGACAACAGCAAAAGCCUUAUGGAGUUGUCAGCUCGUGUUUGCAGUUAAACAAACACAUCUGUUUGGAAACAGAAAAUAAAGCAGCUUCCUAAAUAGAGAGAAGCCUCCAGUUCCACAUUUAAGACAAAUGGAGAAUGGGUUUGGAAGUCUUGACCUGAAGCCAUGUGGAAUUCUUAGCCUGAAAGCAAUAUGAUUGCUGUCAAAUUCUGACGUAUCUGUUUAUCUGAAAGAAGAGCAGUGUCUUAUUUUGUUUAGAAAGAAAAUCCACUGUGUGCUUGGUGUUAUAUAAACACAUGCCCAGAAAUCAACCACUGAGAGGUCCUCUGUAUUAUUUCUCCUGCAAGAAAAACACUGAAAAAUUCUAUCAGAAUGUUCUUUUUGGAUUUCUCAUGCAAUGAUGGGGAAGAUUUUCCAGGGCAAAACCAAGUGUGAGCAGGGAAGUGCUGCAGGAGAUGAAGAAAACAAUGGUGGGCCAUGAGGUGGUCAUUUUAAGAUGGAAGAGACGUUCUCUGAAGAUGAAGGUCUGUAACUUUGCUCAAUGCCAAAAAUAGAAAUGCAAGAGAACUCAACUGAGGUUAAGGAUUUUUCUUGCAAAUAAUAGAAGUCAACAGCCCAACCAAUACUACAAAUGAUUUAAUGCUUUGAACAUAAUACCAAGCCAGGAACAAACUGGGUAAGUCAGUGUUAUCUUUUUUCUGCAUAUGCUUCAAUACUUUAAAACUUUUGAUUCCUAGUUAACUAUGUAGAAAUGUAUGAUAGAAAAUCAAGGUGAGUAAAGACUUUCAACUGUUAUUGCCACAGAGAAAA